rnacentral:rRNA from 1 species
UACGAAGGUGACGAGCGUUAUUCGGAGUUACUGGGCGUAAAGAGCGCGUAGGCGGUCUUUUAAGUCAGUUGUUAAAUCCCACGGCCUAACUGUGGAAAUGCAGCUGAUACUGGAAGACUAGAGGUUGAGAGAGAGAGACGGAAUUCUCGGAGUAGCGGUAAAAUGCGUAGAUCUCGAGAGGAACACCGAUGGCGAAGGCAGUUUCUUAGUUCAAUUCUGACGCUAAAGCGCGAAAGCGUGGGGAG